UGUACAUUUAUAUUGAUCUCCGCUACCAAACAAGAAGGUGAUCCACGCCCCCUUUGUGUAUCUUUCUUUUGUUCUUGCACAUAAAGAAAUCAAUCUGUUCAACUGCCAUAUAGAAUACUAAACCCCACGAAUAAAUAUUAUUAUAUGUGGCAAUGUGAAUAGUUAAACAAUAGAAUGUAUUGUGCACAAAAAAAAAAAAAAACCAAUAAAAUGAACAAAGGGACAGAAUCGUGCCAAACCUACAACAUUCCAGCUGACCUCUGCCUCCCUUAUUACUACUAUAUAGAGGUCAC
rnacentral:lncRNA from 1 species